AGCCCUGAAGUAGCUAAUACGUUGGAUUGCAAAUCCAAAAAUGGAAACUAAGUUCUCCCGGGGCUU
rnacentral:tRNA from 1 species